UACCAGCUCUCCGAGUGGUAGGGAUGAUUAUUGGGCUUAAAGCGUCCGUAGCCGGCUUAGCAAGUCUCCUGUUAAAUUCAGCGACCUAAUCGUUGAGCCGCGGGAGAUACUACUAGGCUAGGAGGCGGGAGAGGUAGACGGUACUUCCGGGGUAGGGGUGAAAUCCUAUAAUCCCGGGAGGACCACCAGUGGCGAAGGCUGUCGACUAGAACGCGCUCGACGGUGAUGGACGAAAGCUGGGGGAGCGAACCGGAUUAGAUACCCGGGUAGUCCCAGCUGUAAACGAUGCGUGCUAGGUGUUGGGGUGGCUACGGGCCACUUCAGUGCCGCAGGGAAGCCAUUAAGCCCGCCGCCUGGGGAGUACGGCCGCAAGGCUGAAACUUAAAGGAAUUGGCGGGGAGCACCACAAGGCGUGAAGCUUGCGGUUC
rnacentral:rRNA from 1 species